rnacentral:rRNA from 1 species
CCUACGGGAGGCUGCAGUGGGGAAUAUUGGGCAAUGGACGCAAGUCUGACCCAGCAACGCCGCGUGAAGGAAGAAGGCUUUCGGGUUGUAAACUUCUUUUAAGGGGGAAGAGCAGAAGACGGUACCCCUUGAAUAAGCCACGGCUAACUACGUGCCAGCAGCCGCGGUAAUACGUAGGUGGCAAGCGUUGUCCGGAUUUACUGGGUGGAAAGGGCGUGCAGCCGGGAAGACAAGUCAGAUGUGAAACCCCGCGGCUCAACCGGGGAACUGCAUUUGAAACUGUUUUUCUGGAGUAUCGGAGAGGUAAUCGGAAUUCCUAGUGUAGCGGUGAAAUGCGUAGAUAUUAGGAAGAACACCAGUGGCGAAGGCGGAUUACUGGACGACAACUGACGGUGAGGCGCGAAAGCGUGGGGAGCAAACAGGAUUAGAUACCCCAGUAGUC